AUUGAACGCUGGCGGCAUGCUUUACACAUGCAAGUCGGACGGCAGCGCGGGCUUCGGCCUGGCGGCGAGUGGCGAACGGGUGAGUAAUACAUCGGAACGUGCCCAGUAGUGGGGGAUAGCUCGGCGAAAGCCGGAUUAAUACCGCAAACGACCUGAGGGUGAAAGCGGGGGACCUUAGGGCCUCGCGCUAUUGGAGCGGCCGAUGGCAGAUUGGCUAGUUGGUGGGGUAAAGGCCUACCAAGGCGACGAUCUGUAGCUGGUCUGAGAGGACGACCAGCCACACUGGGACUGAGACACGGCCCAGACUCCGGCGGGAGGCAGCAGUGGGGAAUUUUGGACAAUGGGCGCAAGCCUGAUCCAGCAAUGCCGCGUGUGUGAUGAAGGCCUUCGGGUUGGAAAGCACUUUUGGCAGGAACGAAAAGUGCCGUGCUAAUACCACGGUACGAUGACGGUACCUGCAGAAUAAGCACCAGCUAACUACGUG
rnacentral:rRNA from 1 species